CCUUUCUGCUCGAGCCUCCGUACCUCUGCACUUUACUUCCACAGCUCCUCUGAGUCUCGUAACAAAAUGACUUCUGGAGGCUGGCUUCUUCAUCCUCCAUGAGAAGGAACAAGAAAUCUGUCCCUAUGUGGAAAACUAGAGCUUUAGCUGUGUUCCUCUCAGGAUAGCCCUGCCUUCAUCAGUUUGAGAGUACUUUUCUGACAUUAAUAUAACCAUGACACUUUAUUGUUGUUAGUCUUUGCAUGGUAUAUUUUCCAGCCUUUAAGUUUCUUUUUAUUUCUCAUUUCAUUCUCCUUCUUAAUCAGUAAAUUAUGUUCUUUAUACAAGUUUGUAUGCAUGAUACAUUUUACAGCUCAAUAAUGGGAGAAAAGCACAAUAAAGGGAUGUUUUUCUUAUUGAAAAUUACUUUAAAGAUGUUUCAAACAGAAAUGAGUAGCAAGGAAAAUAAGAACCAUUAAAAUUACUAGUAAUACGCAUUAUUUUUCCUUUGCUAUUAGCUGUUAACAUAAAAACAUUCAAACCUGUAAAGAAUUUUUGUGAGUU